rnacentral:rRNA from 1 species
CCUACGGGAGGCAGCAGUGGGGAAUAUUGCACAAUGGGGGAAACCCUGAUGCAGCGACGCCGCGUGAGUGAAGAAGUAUUUCGGUAUGUAAAGCUCUAUCAGCAGGGAAGAAAAUGACGGUACCUGACUAAGAAGCCCUGGCUAACUACGUGCCAGCAGCCGCGGUCAUACGUAGGGGGCAAGCGUUAUCCGGAUUUACUGGGUGGAAAGGGAGCGUAGACGGCAGAGCAAGUCUGAAGUGAAAGCCCGCGGCCCAACUGCGGGACUGCUUUGGAAACUGCCCGGCUAGAGUGCUGGAGAGGUAAGCGGAAUUCCUAGUGUAGCGGUGAAAUGCGUAGAUAUUAGGAGGAACACCAGUGGCGAAGGCGGCUUACUGGACAGUAACUGACGUUGAGGCUCGAAAGCGUGGGGAGCGAACAGGAUUAGAUACCCGUGUAGUC